AGUGAACGCUGGCGGUAGGCCUAACACAUGCCAGUCGAACGGCAGCACAGUAAGAUCUUGCUCUUAUGGGUGGCGAGUGGCGGACGGGUGAGGAAUACAUCGGAAUCUACUUUUUCGUGGGGGAUAACGUAGGGAAACUUACGCUAAUACCGCAUACGACCUACGGGUGAAAGCAGGGGAUCUUCGGACCUUGCGCGAUUGAAUGAGCCGAUGUGGGAUUAGCUAGUUGGCGGGGUAAAGGCCCACCAAGGCGACGAUCCGUAGCUGGUCUGAGAGGAUGAUCGGCGACCCUGGAGCUGGAACACGGUCCAGGCUCCUACGGGAGGCAGCAGUGGGGAAUGUUAGACAAUGGGCGGAAGCCUGAUCCAGCCAUACCGCGUGGGUGAAGAAGGCCUUCGGGUUGUGAAGCCCUUUUGUUGGGAAAGAAAAGCAGCAGGUUAAUACCCCGCUGUUCUGACGGUACCCAAAGAAUAAGCACCGGCUAACUUCGUG
rnacentral:rRNA from 1 species